AGUUUUAUAAAGAUAAACACUAUGAAACAAAAAACACACAAAGGAGUCGAUAUACUGAUAACAAUCCAAUUUACAUAAACAAUAUGCCAAACUUUUAUGUAGACAACUAUUUUAAACUGCAUGAGAAAAUAAACAGCUUACAUAUGACACUUGCAGAAACUGGAAAAUAACUUCCACUCGUUAGGAUAGUAGUUGGGUAGUGAGUCCCAGUUACAAUCACACAUAAAUCACUCUUACAAUCACUCUUAUAGAAAUAUGAUCUGGUUGGCUGGAUACACCACCAGCUAUAUAGUAAAGAGAGAGAAAGUUACAAAGAGAGAGUAACAGUAAAGUUGUAGAGACAAAGAGUAACAAUAGAGUUGCAGAGACAGAGAGAGAGAGUAACAAUAAAGUUGCAGAGACAGUAGACUUGCAGAAACAAAGAGUAACAAUAGUGUUGCAGAGACAGUAGAGAUAGGGUUGCAGAGAUUGCAGAGAGAGGUAAGGUUGCAGAGAUUGCAAAGAGAGAUAAGGUUGCAAAGAUUGCAGAGAGAGGUAAGGUUGCAGAGAUUGCAGAGAGAGAGAUAAGGUUGCAGAGAUUACAACCGAGGAGAAAAACUUUAGAUCACAAAGAGAAGAGAGGAGACUAAGGGGGAAAAAC
rnacentral:lncRNA from 1 species